AAAAAAAUUUUAAAAUAUUUAUUUCUUCUUCUACCAUCUUCCUUCCGCCGCCUUCCACCUUUUCAACUGUUCAGUUCAUGAUCUCACCAUGUCAAUAAUAUGAUGUGGUACAUCCAACUAAUUACAUCACAACAUAGAGUUAGUAAUACAGGUGAUGAGUCAGAAAUUUGGGUGAAAUUCUUCUGUGGAUCAGCUAAAACAUUUGAAUUUAGGGAAUGAGACUGAAGAAUUAUUAUCAUGGACUUUGAUUGAAAGGGGUAUAAUUUCCCAGAAUUCUUUCCUCUUCUUCUUCAUUUCUUGGUAUUCUUCCCUAUUUUUGGUUUUCACCUUAACCAAAAAUACGCACCCAGAUGUCACGGCGAAUACGAAGAAAUUGAACCUAAAAAUCAAAGAAACGAGAUUACUGGAAGACAUUUCAAGUGAUCUUAGGCCUGUUUCCUUCUUAAACCCAUAAAAGGUUUCUAAAGAAAAUCAAAGUCCAUUGCUCGUCUUUUUACCGAAGACCUGAAAGUCAGGUUCAUAUUUCAACUAUACAAGUUUCGUUUAUUCCUCUAGAGCUUCGACUUUGAAAUAAAAAAUAAACAAAAAAAGUGCAGCUUAAAUUUGAAAAUAAACAAGAAAAAUUUCAAUGUAAUCCAACCAUGUGCCCAAUAAGAUCAUAGAUGAAAGGAUCCAAUGGGCGAGUUGGCCGGAAGUUCAACUGUUAUCGCAAACGAAGAAAUUGCCUCAAAACAUUCGUUUUUGGUAAAAACAGUUUUGGGACAGAGUGCGUUUGCUUCAGAUUUCAGAAACCAAAAAUAAUAAUAAUAAAAUUAAGGAAUAUGCCAGUAGGAAAAGGGCCUGAAAAAUCAGGGAAGUGGAUAUCAGAUUCAGGCGAGUGAUACUGGCAUUUGUUCCAUGUCGCAAGUUUUAGAAAUUGAAUUGCCCGGAUCGUACCCGUUUCCAGAUCCGACCAAGAAGCUGACUUGCUUAAACCCAAAUUCAGUAGAAAAUAGACAAACCUUUCGUCCGAAAGUGAAAAGAAAAAUCGAGAAACUGCGGCUGAGAAUUG
rnacentral:misc_RNA from 1 species